UAGUUUUUUGUUUUCCAGGUUGUAGAUCUAUAUGAAGAUGAAAAAAAUGAUUUUAAAGUGUAAGUAACAACAUAUAAGUUUUCUCUGUUCCAUAAUUUUCACUUCUUUUAUUUUUACAUGUUGUAGAUCUAUCAAAACAAAGACGAAUCCGGGUACUAAAACAACAACGACAAUAUGUGUGACAAUAUAAAUUAUGGUUCUACAUCUUCUGAUAGGAAAACAAAAAGUUAAACAUAUGGACAAUUUCUUAACAUUUUUUUUUCACUUCUUUUUAUUUUUAUUAAUUUUUCUCUCUUCUUUUUAGAAUUUGUCA